CGGCUUGGGCCGGUCCCAACCGGAUGUGACGUAGAUGGGAGCGACGAGCUUGUGCGCGUGCGCGUGCGGGCCAGGAAGCUUUCCGGGUUCGGGUUGGUUUGCAUCUGGCAGGUUCUCGUGUGGCUGCUGAGCCGCCGGUUCGAGUCUUCUGUGGUCUCCGCCAGGGGGGCCCGCUCCGGCAGGUCACAGCACCUUAGUUUUCUUUGGAGGAACUGUCCACCAUCUCUCAUCCACUCUUGGGACACAUGGUUUGCAUGUUUAUGACCCCAACGCUGGCCUCUGGGGCGGGCACAGGCCUGGAUGUGGCCAAUCAGAGCUACACAGAAUGAGGCCGGUGCUGUGUCCGAGGGAGUCAGCAACUUUCCUGCAAAGGGCAGAACCGUCUUUCCCUGGGCAAGGUGACUCAGAUACCAGCUGGGGAGCCUCUCAACUCACCGCCUGAAUCACAUCUCGGCCACAGUGGGGCCUGUCAGUAGCAGGAACCCUGGAG